rnacentral:rRNA from 1 species
GACGAACGCUGGCGGCGUGCUUAACACAUGCAAGUCGAACGGAAAGGCAAUGAUUUUGCGGGGUGCUGGAGAGGCGAACAGGUGAGUAUCACGCGAGUAACCUGCGCCUGACUGCGGGAUAACUUCAUGAAACUGGGGCUAAUAUACGAUAGGAGAUUCUGCUUCAUGUGGUGGGUUGGAAAGUUUCGGCGGUUGGGGACGGACGUGCGGCUUAUCAGCGUGUUGGUGGGGUAGUGGCUUACCAAGGCUUGGACGGGUAGCCGGACUGAGAGGGUGACCGGGCACAUUGGGACUGAGGUAGCGCCCAGACUCCUUCGGGAGGCAGCAGUGGGGAAUAGUCCACGCUGGGCGGAAGGCGUGUGGAGCAGCGUCGCGUGCGGGAUGUCGGCCUUCGGGUUGUAAACCGCUUUCGCCUGUGACGAAGCGUGUGUGACGGUAAUUGGUAAAGAAGCGCCGGCUAACUACGUG